rnacentral:miRNA from 1 species
UCCUUUCUGUAGGUAUAAUAUUU